CUAGAUUCUGACAAGACCUAAAGCACAGAGAGUCCAAAAUUGAGAAUUACAGCCCAAGUUUAGAACAUCCAGGGCUCAUGAGUUGAGUCUAACCUUGUGGCUAGAAUGGACAAGUAAAAAGCAGCACAAAGUCAAUGAUGUCUACAGACCAUUCUUUCUGGUUGGAGAAGCACCUGAUGUAAAGUCUUGGCACGCAUCCUGUGCAAAGAUUAGCACCCUAAACUGAUGGCUAGGUUGCACACUCUCACCACCUUCUACUGCUGCUCUGAGCAGGCUAAGGCGACAGUCUAGCUCCAGGUACACACUUGGGAGGAAAAUCAUCCAUGAGGACAGCCCUGGUUCUGGUUCCUCACCUGUUAUACCAGUUAAAAAGAAGCCAGUUCAUCCCCUCCAGCUGGUACUCCCGGAGCUGGUUACUGUUCUUAUACUCUCGAGACUUCUCCAGUUUCUGCCAGGAGUCCGAAGCAGGCCGCUCCUAAUGGAGGAAGGCAGAGAACACAAAAUACGUUGAGAAUAACGUCUGAGGAACGUAACACGAAUAGGGACAUAGGAUAAUAAUGGGGAAGGUGGCAAAUCUCAAAACACUGCCCUAAAGCUGGCAUGAAACCGCAGCUACUAUUUUCUGACUAAUGUGCAGGCGAGACCCUGUAUUUUCUUGAUUUCACCAGAUUAAACUAAGAAAACCUCA